rnacentral:rRNA from 1 species
UCGAACCCUGCAAAGCAGAAACAUCUGUGAACAUGUAAAAAUGACGAGCGUUGAGUGGAUUAAGCACUAGAUUGAUCCUCUCGGCGCUUUGUCGAUGAGCACUGNCUUGGGUCCCUUUGGUCCCUUGUGAGUGUCAUUGGCGCAAUAACAACCCCCGGCACAAUGCGUGCCAAGGAAAACAAAAACUUAAGAAGGCUUGUUCCAUGUUGCCCCGUUCGCGGUGUGCUCAUGAGACGCGACUUCUUUUUAAAUCGCGUCGCCCCCCACCAAAUCUUUGUUGGGGGGCGGAUAUUGGUCUCCCGUGCUAUUGGCGUGGUUGGCCAAAAUAGGAGUCCCUUCGAUGGACGCACAAACAAGUGGUGGUCGUAAAAACCCUCGUUCUUUGUUUUGUGCCGUCUCUCGCAAGGGAACACUCUUCAAGUAACCCAGCGCAUCGUCUAAGGAUGAUGCUUCGACCG